rnacentral:rRNA from 1 species
GACGAACGCUGGCGGCGUGCUUAACACAUGCAAGUCGAACGGAAAGGCCCUGCUUUUGUGGGGUGCUCGAGUGGCGAACGGGUGAGUAACACGUGAGUAACCUGCCCUUGACUUUGGGAUAACUUCAGGAAACUGGGGCUAAUACCGGAUAGGAGCUCCUGCUGCAUGGUGGGGGUUGGAAAGUUUCGGCGGUUGGGGCUGGACUCGCGGCUUAUCAGCUUGUUGGUGGGGUAGUGGCUUACCAAGGCUGUGACGGGUAGCCGGCCUGGGAGGGUGACCGGCCACAUUGGGACUGCGGUACGGCCCAGACUCCUACGGGAGGCAGCAGUGGGGAAUAUUGCACAGUGGGCGGAAGCCUGAUGCAGCAACGCCGCGUGCGGGAUGACGGCCUUCGGGUUGUAAACCGCUUUCGCCUGUGACGAAGCGUGAGUGACGGUAAUGGGUAAAGAAGCACCGGCUAACUACGUG